AUGACAGAAUCCACAGAUUCCUGGGAACAUAUAAAAAGAUGCUUUGGUUUCUACAUGAAAGACAUUACUCAUUUGGAUAUUGGAGUGUUAUUAUUUAUGCAGUUUCAUGUAGAUUUUUUUUCUUUUGUUUCAGGAUCUGCUCCUAAAACACUGUUACGGAAAUUCUCACAUGCAAACUCUACGUGCAUAUUCCUGAGAGGAUGGCAGCACCAUUACAGAAGCCAGCUCAGAAAAGCUGCUAGCCAGAGAGCCCACGGUCAUAUUGUUUAUAUUUUGGUAGCACCUACAAAUCCCCGCCAAGGUUGGGAUCCCCUUGUGCUAGCUGCUGUACAGACUCAUAAGAGACAGCCCCUGCCCAGAACAGCUUCCAAUCUAAAUAGCCAAGAUAGACGGAAAGGGGAGAAGGGAAGUAUUACAAUCCUAAAUUUUAACUUUGGAACUGAAGCACAAAAAGAUUAAAUUCCUUGCCCAAGAUCAUACAGGAAGUCUACACAGACCUGGGAGUUGAACCCAGAGCACUUGACACCUAGUCCCAUGCAUUAACCACAAGACCAUCCUUCCUUUGCUAGUCAAGAUAAUUUAUUUUAUUGUGUCCUUCAUACAGAAUAUCUCAACACUUUGCAGAUAGUAAAACUGUGAGCCAAAGAGAAAAGGCAAGCUUUAAGAUGAAAUUUAAAGAGCAAGCUAGUCAGUGUCCAGGAAAGGGGAUAACAGGUUGAAAUGUAGAAUGAAAAACAGGGAAAAGUCUGACUGAGAAUUAUUAGAUUAGGGAAUAAUCUCCCACAGGAAGUGGUGGAAACCUAUUAUUUAGGACUUUUAAAGUAGGCUGAACUAAGCACUAGAAAAUGUAGGGUAGUAAGCAAAUUCGCACGAACAAGUGAAUGGACUAGAUCAGCAGUUCUCAAACUGGGGACUGCAAGUCAUGUCCAGGGCUGCUGGCCCCAUUGAUCAACUCCUCCCCCUCCCUCCCAGUGCCUCCUGCACGCCGUGGAAUAGCUGUUCAGUGGCAUGCAGGAAGCACGGGGGUGGGGGGAGGAGCGGGGAUGGACACCCUUAGGACAAGGGGUAGAAAGAGGUGGGGAAAAGGUGGGGUGGGGCCUUGGAGGAAGAGGUGGAGUGGGGGCGGGGCCAAGUACAUGCUCACUACACUGUUUCAUGAAGUUAGGCAGCAGGGCAGUCCAAACAAACAACCUCCCCUUUUUGCAGUCUUCUGUGGCUCUGCUCCUGCAGCUUGACUUUCCUGUCUUGUGGACUCAGACCCACACAUGCACCACAGUACUUAAAAGGUGUUGUUGCAGCAGCUGGCAAAGGAUUCUGUGGCAUGUAUAUGGCCAUUAGAAGGGGGGAGAUGGAGACAUUUGGAGACCAAAUGUGCUUUGGAACUUUGAACAGUCAAUUCUUUCAGACAAGUUGGAUUGGAGUCACUACAUUGCACCACUGGGGGUACCCAAACCGUGAC
rnacentral:lncRNA from 1 species